UCUUCCAGUUGUCGUGAGGGGGAAUGACUAAAGACACUGCCUUGCAGAGACCUGAUUUGUGUAGGCAUUUUCUCACCCUUGGACAUAGAAGCCUCCUAAAAAGCCUUUAGAUAAGGAUUGAAUUUACCAACCGUAAAGCAAAGCAGAGACUUGUUUAUGCUGACACAGAAGAAAUACUAUUGUGCAGAAAAGAAUCUUGUAUUUAACAUGAGACACACAAAUUGAUCAAAAUUACACAUACGUACCGACCUUCCAUAUGUUACAAAACAAUUAAACUAAAAUGCAUUAGAUUAUCACC